UUCUGUAAGCCUGCGAAGGUGGCCUGUGAGGGUUGCUGGAGGUAUCAGAAGUGCGAAUGCUGACAUAAGUAACGAUAAUGCGGGUGAAAAGCCCGCACGCCGGAAGACCAAGGGUUCCUGUCCAACGUUAAUCGGGGCAGGGUGAGUCGACCCCUAAGGCGAGGCCGAAAGGCGUAGUCGAUGGGAAACAGGUUAAUAUUCCUGUACUUGGUGUUACUGCGAAGGGGGGACGGAGAAGGCUAUGUUAGCCGGGCGACGGUUGUCCCGGUUUAAGCAUGUAGGCGGAGGUUCCAGGUAAAUCCGGUACCUUUUAACGCUGAGGUGUGAUGACGAGGCACUACGGUGCUGAAGUAACAAAUGCCCUGCUUCCAGGAAAAGCCUCUAAGCAUCAGGUAACAUUGAAUCGUACCCCAAACCGACACAGGUGGUCAGGUAGAGAAUACCAAGGCGCUUGAGAGAACUCGGGUGAAGGAACUAGGCAAAAUGGUGCCGUAACUUCGGGAGAAGGCACGCUGAUAUGUAGGUGAAGCCCCUGCGGGUGGAGCUGAAAUCAGUCGAAGAUACCAGCUGGCUGCAACUGUUUAUUAAAAACACAGCACUGUGCAAACACGAAAGUGGACGUAUACGGUGUGACGCCUGCCCGGUGCCGGAAGGUUAAUUGAUGGGGUUAUCCGUAAGGAGAAGCUCUUGAUCGAAGCCCCGGUAAACGGCGGCCGUAACUAUAACGGUCCUAAGGUAGCGAAAUUCCUUGUCGGGUAAGUUCCGACCUGCACGAAUGGCGUAAUGAUGGCCAGGCUGUCUCCACCCGAGACUCAGUGAAAUUGAACUCGCUGUGAAGAUGCAGUGUACCCGCGGCAAGACGGAAAGACCCCGUGAACCUUUACUAUAGCUUGACACUGAACAUUGAGCCUUGAUGUGUAGGAUAGGUGGGAGGCUUUGAAGCGUGGACGCCAGUCUGCGUGGAGCCAACCUUGAAAUACCACCCUUUAAUGUUUGAUGUUCUAACGUUGGCCCCUGACCGGGGUUGCGGACAGUGUCUGGUGGGUAGUUUGACUGGGGCGGUCUCCUCCCAAAGAGUAACGGAGGAGCACGAAGGUUAGCUAAUCCUGGUCGGACAUCAGGAGGUUAGUGCAAUGGCAUAAGCUAGCUUGACUGCGAGCGUGACGGCGCGAGCAGGUGCGAAAGCAGGUCAUAGUGAUCCGGUGGUUCUGAAUGGAAGGGCCAUCGCUCAACGGAUAAAAGGUACUCCGGGGAUAACAGGCUGAUACCGCCCAAGAGUUCAUAUCGACGGCGGUGUUUGGCACCUCGAUGUCGGCUCAUCACAUCCUGGGGCUGAAGUAGGUCCCAAGGGUAUGGCUGUUCGCCAUUUAAAGUGGUACGCGAGCUGGGUUUAGAACGUCGUGAGACAGUUCGGUCCCUAUCUGCCGUGGGCGCUGGAGAAUUGAGGGGGGCUGCUCCUAGUACGAGAGGACCGGAGUGGACGCAUCACUGGUGUUCGGGUUGUCAUGCCAAUGGCAUUGCCCGGUAGCUAAAUGCGGAAGAGAUAAGUGCUGAAAGCAUCUAAGCACGAAACUUGC
rnacentral:rRNA from 1 species